UACGUAGGGUGCAAGCGUUGUCCGGAAUUAUUGGGCGUAAAGAGCUCGUAGGCGGUUUGUCGCGUCUGCUGUGAAAAUCCAAGGCUCAACCUUGGACCUGCAGUGGGUACGGGCAGACUAGAGUGCGGUAGGGGGAGAUGGGAAUUCCUGGUGUAGCGGUGGAAUGCGCAGAUAUCAGGAGGAACACCGGUGGCGAAGGCGCCUUCCUGGCCUAAGACUGACGCUGAGGUGCGAAAGCGUGGGGAGCAAACGGG
rnacentral:rRNA from 1 species